GGAGAGGUGGCUGAGUGGUUGAAAGCAGCGGUUUACUAAACCGCCGGACUCGAAAGAGUCUCGUGGGUUCGAAUCCCACCCUCUCCGCCA
rnacentral:tRNA from 1 species